rnacentral:rRNA from 1 species
AUUGAACGCUGGCGGUAGGCCUAACACAUGCAAGUCGAGCGGCUGAAGGGAGCUUGCUUCUGGAUACAGCGGCGGACGGGCGAGUAAUGGCGAGGAACCUGCCUGGCUGCGGGGGCUAACGGCCGAAAACGGGCGCUAAUACCGCAUACGCCCAGAGGGAGUAAGUGUGGGAUCUUCGGAUCUUACGCUAUCAGACGAGCCUAGGUCGGAUUAGCUAGUUGGUGGGGUAAAGGCCUACCAAGGCGACGAUCCGUAGCUGGCCUGAGAGGAUGAUCAGUCACACUGGAACUGAGACACGGUCCAGACUCCUACGGGAGGCAGCAGUGGGGAAUAUUGGACAAUGGGCGAAAGCCUGAUCCAGCCAUGCCGCGUGUGUGAAGAAGGUCUUCGGAUUGUAAAGCCCUUUAAGUUGGGAGGAAGAGCAGUAAGUUAAUACCUUGCUGUUUUGACGUUACCAACAGAAUAAGCACCGGCUAACUUCGUG